rnacentral:rRNA from 1 species
GUACAUGCCAACACCAUAGCAUUAAUGAACUGAAUCCCAUUCGAACUCCGUAGUUAAGCGCGCUCAGGCUAGAGUAGUAUUGGGAUGGGCGACUACCUGGGAGGUCCCAGUGUUUUAAAUG